GACGAACGCUGGCGGCGUGCUUAACACAUGCAAGUCGAACGGAAAGGCCCCUUUGGGGGUACUCGAGCGGCGAACGGGUGAGUAACGCGUGAGUAACCUGCCCUUGACUUCGGGAUAACUUCAGGAAACUGGGGCGAAUACCGGAUAGGAAUCCUUUCUGCCUGGUGGGGGUUGGAAAGCUUCGGCGGUUUUGGAUGGACUCGCGGCUUAUCUGCUUGGUGGUGGGGUAGUGGCUUACCAAGGCUUUGUCGGGUAGCCGGCCUGGGAGGGCGACCGGCCACAUUGGGACUGAGAUACGGCCCAGACUCCUACGGGAGGGAGCAGUGGGGAAUAUUGCACAAUGGGCGGAAGCCUGAUGCAGCAACGCCGCGGGCGGGAUGACGGCCUUCGGGUUGGAAACCGCUUUCAGCAGGGGCGAAGCUUGUGGUGACGGUACCUGCAGAAGAAGCACCGGCUAACUACGUG
rnacentral:rRNA from 1 species